UACGUGGGGGGCAAGCGUUGUUCGGAAUUACUGGGCGUAAAGGGCUCGUAGGUGGCCAACUAAGUCAGACGUGAAAUCCCCAGGCUCAACUUGGGAACUGCGUCUGAUACUGGAUGGCUUGAAUUCGGGAGAGGGAUGCAGAAUUCCAGGUGUAGCGGUGAAAUGCGUAGAUAUCUGGAGGAAUACCGGUGGCGAAGGCGGCAUCCUGGACCGAUAUUGACACUGAUGAGCGAAAGCUAGGGGAGCAAACGGG
rnacentral:rRNA from 1 species